rnacentral:rRNA from 1 species
GACGGAGGAUGCAAGCGUUAUCCGGAAUUAUUGGGCGUAAAGAGCUCGUAGGCGGUUUGUCGCGUCUGCUGUGAAAACUGGAGGCUCAACCUCCAGCCUGCAGUGGGUACGGGCAAACUAGAGUGCGGUAGGGGAGAUUGGAAUUCCUGGUGUAGCGGUGGAAUGCGCAGAUAUCAGGAGGAACACCGAUGGCGAAGGCAGAUCUCUGGGCCGUAACUGACGCUGAGGAGCGAAAGCAUGGGGAGCGAACAGG